AUGCCUGAAGAGGUUGUUUUUACUGAAAGCACAGAAGAAAAAAAACACGAUAUUACAGAGAAGAGCAUGUCAGUGGAAAGUGGACUUUCAGAAGAAGUGAUCAACAAGCUCCCAGUUGCAGAUGUACAAUCAAAUGAACUGAGUGAGACAGAGGAUGAGAAAGGCUCAACAAUAACUAAACUUGAUCAAGUUAUCAGGGAGUCUAAUGAUGAAGACCAGGAUAUAUGUGAGUCUGAGUUAGAGUCCAGAGAGUUAUCAUUCUCUGGGGUUUUAAAUGUAGAUGUGUGUGCUCAGGAGUUAGGAAUGGAAGAAGAUAAGGGAGGUAUUGAGGAGCCUGUAGCUGUAGAUGAGGAGAUUUUAGACUCAGAGGGAGAGGAAAAUGUUGAAACUGAAGAACCAGUGGAGGUCUUUCCAUAUUCUGGGCUGGCUGAUGUAGAUGUGUGCGCAACAGAGCUUGGAGAAACAGAACAGAAGAUAUUGGAAAGAGCGACUGGUGAAAAUGAUACACAUACUGUCGAAGAAAAAACCUUAAAACUCCAGCCUGAGGAAAUUCUUGUACAGCCAUCACUGUCUGAAUCCGAAAUCCCUGAGGGCAAUGAACAAGAAUCAGAAGAACAGGAAGAAAAGACUGCGCUGGAGGAAAGAACAGAGAUUGAAGUUUACUAUGGGGAAACUCGUGAAGUUUUAGCAGAUAUUGAGGGUGGUUUAGACAGUAUACCAAAAGACGAUUCUUUGGUUGGUAUUAGCUUUGAAGAUGAGGGCAGUCCAGUAGGAACCAGCCAAAAGAUAUCUGUUAUACAAGACCAAGGUGAACCUGAAAUGGAGGAAAUUGAAAAGGAAGUUCACUCUGAACAGGAUAAAAUGGGAAGUCCACAUGAGACAUCUGAAAUAAUAAAGGAGAAGGUGGAUACAGAUUAUUCUAAUUUUAACAAGAGUGACGAUGAUGAAAAGGGAAAAGGCGUUAAAAACAUCAGCUCAUCACAUCAGCCCACCACCAAAACGGAUGAAGAGGCACCAGAGGAUGAAACCGAUCAUGAAAAUGAAAAUAAUACAAACGGUAAUAAUGAAGAUGAAAUUCACCAGGUAAUGGAUUCUGAAAAAGAGACCAAGUCAAACAACGUUGACUUUACAGAAGAUGAAGUGAUAGAAGGAGCUGAAGGAGACAAAGAGGACUUACAUACAGAAGGUUAUAGUUUGACGGAGGAUGAAAAAAUUGAUAAUGACGAUGCGGAGAAUCAUUCAUCACAAAUAACCCAUUCAAAUAUAUCAACUGUUGCACUGGAGACAAAGAGUGAAACUUUUGAGGCAAGUGCACAACAGCUACCAGAGGAGAAUGAGGAGAGUCAGAGGACACUUGUAGAGUCACAGCCAGAGGAUACAGUGGAUGAAAAGGAGGUCACAUCAAAGGAAACAGAGGAACUGGCAGAAGAAGGAACAGCUGAUUCUGACAUACAGGAGAAAAGUGAUGCAACGUGUGAAGAGGAAAGCAUCACCCUCACUCAUAGUGCAGAUGGGACAGUUGCUGACCACCAAGGGGAGGUAAGGUCACUUGGGUCUGAAAAUGACACUGCAGAGCCUUAG
ensembl:lncRNA